ensembl:lncRNA
CAUUAUAACUGAAGUUGAACUGUUUAUUUAAAUUAAACUUUUUAAAGCAUUAAACCAAAUAUAGGGAAACAUAAGAACAAUGUUAAAGGGGUAAUGCAUGGAGAAUCAAAAUGUUCUUGAUAUUUGCAUUUAUUUUUAAUCUUACAGCAUGUUUGUAAUAUACCAGUGAUUAACUAUAUUAAACCUACUUAAGCUGCAGCGUCUUUUGUAACAGACAGGUAAUACUAGCACUUUUAAAACUAUGUUCUGAAAAUUAAGCAAGCAAAAGCAAUCUCCACACUAAAACACACUGUGCAAUUGUUGUGUUUUUGUCAUUUUUAUUAUUAUUAUUAUUAUUAUUAUUAUUAUUAUUAUUAUUAUUAUUAUUAUUAUUAUUAUUAUUAUUAUUAUUAUUUUUGUUAAAUAUAUAUGUAGUUUUUCAUUUUUAUUUCCAUUUUAGUUUGUUAUUUUAGCACAUCAAUUUGAAAAUAAAAAGGAAAAGAGAAAUGCUGCAUUUGCUAAUAAUAAAUAAAAAAGUAGUUUUAUAUAUAUAUAUAUAUAUAUAUAUAUAUAUAUAUAUAUAUAUAUAUAUAUAUAUAUAGGGUUAAUUAUAGCUGACGUCAACUAAAACUCAAAUUAAAUGUAAAAGUAUUAUAUAUAUAUAUAUAUAUAUAUAUAUAUAUAUAUAUAUAUAUAUAUAUAUAUAUAUUUUUUUUUUUUUUUUAUUAUUAUUUAUUUAUUUAUUUAUUUAUUUAUUUAUUUAUUUAUUUAUUUUGAAUUUUUUUUUAUUUUUAUACUUUUACAUUUAAUUUGAGUUUUAGUUGUUGUCAACUAUAAUUAGCCCUGACGGUCAUGCUGUGUGUUGUUGGUAGACGUCGGUGGCGAUGAACGGGAGUAAUAAGUGUUUUCCCAGCAGCACCUGUUCACUUCCGGUUGGUGUUUGAGUCGUCUGUGUCUUGAGGGAGUAAAUCUUUCAGACACUCCUAAACAAACACGUGGUGUAGAUUAACAUGCCAGGACACACCGAGAUCCACCUCCAAUCGUCUUUCCAUUAAAACGGACAAACGGCAGCCUACGGCAAAGAGAGGGAGAGGAAUAAAUCAGGAUAGUCUAAGGAAUAGUAAUCCUGCCUGAACAGUUUGAGCUGAUUGAUAUAAAUAACAGUGUCCUCACCAUCUGUCCGGAGAGAGACCUUCUCCGCUCGCUGCUGAG